CCAACUGAGUCACCCAGGUCAUUCUCGGAGGGCAGCAGUCACAUCCGCUUCAUCUCUGGGAUCCCUUGAACACCAGCAGAGGGUCUGGUACAAAAUAGGAGCCGAUGAAUAUCCAAUCAGAGGGUUUAUUGGGGAUCUGCUACACACCAGGAAUAUUCUUUCAUGGGUAUGGUUUCUACCAGUUACAACCCCCCGGGGUGGGCACGAGUGCUUUCGCUUUACAGAUGAGGACAGUGAGACCCAGAGAGGUUAGAGGACUUGCCCAAGAUCACACAGCCAGUAAGUGCAGAACCAGCUUUAUUCCAGGUCUGCCUGGGCUCUAAAGCUCCUCUUCUUUCCAGGCCUCCUGGUUCCCCAACAGGGUGUGUGGGCCGGGAGGGAGGUGGCUGCAUUUCAGGGGUAGAUUGGGUGGCGGUGGGGAUCCUGUCCUUCAGGCUGCAGGAGCCUGGGCUUCAGGUUAGGCGUGUGCCAGGUCCCUGGGAUGACUCCUGGCCCCGCACAGUGGUGAGCACUUCUGGUCCUUCCGUGGGGUUGAGGCGGCCCUGCACAGAUGGGGUGGCCCUGACUGAGGGUUUGGGGCUGGGUGGCAGACGUGAGCUCCACUGUCAGUGAGCUCCCACCACCGAGAGCUGUGCAGCUUGGGAAAGGAAGGUGGAGAAUGGUUGGUUAUAGGAGCAUCCCUGUAAAAGAUUAGAAAUACUAAGUCUGGCCCAGAGCUGGGCACAGGCAGAAUUGGGCACCCGAGGUGCUCUGCCAACGACAAGGUCUUCUAUUUCUCCUCCAUGUUCUAUUCCCUUGCUCUCCCUUUUACGAUCCAGGAGGAACACGGCUCACCCCAGGGGUUCUGUGGGGAGGGUGGGCUGCACACCUGAUGGGGGCACCUUCAGGACCCCGGAUAUUGCUGGUGCACGCGUCCAGCCUCCAGGUCGCCCUGGACAGAAGCGGUCCCUAGGCUCCUUCCACGAGGAUGUCCCGACAGCUGCCCCGCUUCCCCCGCCUCCUCUCCGGCCCGCGGCCCACCGGCCAGACUCUGCUGUGAACCGAGGCCCGGGUGCGGACGAGCCGAGGGGACCCCGGACGGCGUGGAGAGAGGAAGAGCUAUGAAACCGGGCUGGGGCUGGGUUUGGGCGUCUCAGGCGGUUUCCUGGCGCCACCUGGUGGCUGUGGUCGGCGUUGCCGCGCCUGCUCUGAAGGGGCUCCAUGCUCGGGGCGUCUGGCUGGGAUUGGGACACUUUGGGCUCUUGGGCUGUGACACUGAGGCGAAUCCCCACCUCUGUUCCUGUCCUUUGAGGAUGAAACAAGGCUCCGAGGGCCCCUGAGGCCUGUGGCAAGCGGAAGGGUGGGGAAGGAAGCACUGAGGGGUCCAGUCUAGAGAGGCAGGGAUUGGGGGUGACCCUCCCUGGGGCUCAGGAGGGGAACAGUGCCCCACUACCUGCAUGAUAGCUCUCUUGACCACGAGUCUAAUCCCAUAACCUUUCUAGAUGUUCAUGUGUGGCCCAGGUGAGAUAACCUGGGUUGGAGAGGGCAUCGUCCACUCUCUCCUGAUCACUGAGGGCAGGUGCGGGGAGCUGGGGCCACAGCCCAGGUCCCAACUCUUGUCCGGGACCAGAACUCAGGGUGUGGCUGCGGAACAGAGACAAGUUCCCUGGGCCCAGCCUGCUCACCUGUGGGGCUUCCAGCUCCGAGGCAGCUCCCGUGUCAGCACGACUGUGUCCAUCCAUUGCCCCGAGACAUCUCCAGGCCCAGCAGCCAAGGGCAGCAGGGCAGCAAUGUGGGAGACCCUGGGCCCCGCAGGACUCCUCACAAUACCCCAGGACCCUCGCCAGCAGUACCCCCGGCUGCUCUGGUGCUCAGGGAAGUCCAGGAAUGCCCUUUGGGAGAGGGUGUGGCCAUCUAUUGGACUGCUCUGCCUUAAAGCCCCCACGGUCCAGGGGUCAGCCCUGUAGCUCACCUGGCUGGCUUGACUUCUUGCAAACUCCCGCCUCAAACUUUCCAUUUUAGGUGCACUCACCUAUGUUCCUUUGCAUACCAGCUUCUGGGACUUCAUGACUUCUGGGCACAUUCUUCUCUCCACUCUUUAAUUUCUGCCUCAAAAGAAAAUCUUAGAAAAUUUUAUCAGGCAGGAUUUGCACGUGCAGAAAUGAAAAUGGUAGUCAGUAUACAAAGUAACAGAAGCCCGAGAAGGGCUGUCUAUUUUUGGCAGGUGACGGCUUCUAGGGAAGGUCAGCUGAACAGAGCCUCUGGUCACAGUCUGCCUUCGGCUCUCCUGAGAGGGGAUUGGAGCCUCUUCUGGAGAAGCCGGUGAGGUUAUGAAUGGGUCCUGAAAACCUGGGGCUCCCAGCAAGUCGAUGGCAAGUUUGGGUGCUGACUUUCCUGAACGGGUCUUCCAUUUGAGCAGGAGGAGAUAGACGUUGGAGGGGGGACAGCGGGCAGAGAGAAAGGGCAGCCCGCCCUCCACUGUUUGGCAAACGUGUGUUUACCAUGAGCGGACGCAGGAGCCUUGCCAAGGCCGAGGCCUCCACAGGAAUCAGAGUUGGGACGAAGGAAGGAGGAGGCGUUUGGCUUCACAGUCUAGAGAAAGAAGACCCUACUGGGCUGCAGACUCCCCUCCAGGGGCUGUUGGAAAGCGGCUGGACCUCUUCUGCUUCUCCCUAGCCACCCUGCCACGCUGCCAGUUCCCAGUUACCAGCAGGGACUGUGCAGUCACUGAAACCAGCACCCUGGGGAGGCCCAGCUCUGGACACCAGCCACACAGAAAGGAGACGCCGACACCCCAAGGAGGUGAUUACGCCAGGGGGGCAGCGAAACACAGAGCCUCUCGUCUCUCCUCUCCCUCUCUUCCCACACAGCCUUCCCCCGCCAUGAGCGUUUGAUUAGCUGUGAGCUGUUUACCUCGUCACUAGAUGGAACUGGGAACUGGGUCUUUUUGUAUCUGAAAGUCACCAGAAAGCCACAGGACUUGCCAAGAUGGUCGGAAUGGGAAGAGGAGGCUGAAGGUUGGAUUUAGGGGAAAAUGGCUACACCCCCACCCUUCACUGAGCUGAGCACCUUGGGAGCCAGUGACCAGAGCAGCUUCCCCGAGGGCACCCAUUCUGUGCCCCGAGAGCCCAGCUGUGCAGGGGCCCUCGGUGAGGGGCGACACAGAAUCCAAGGGAUGAGUGGCUCCCGGAGUGAGGCUCAGCCCUUGUCCUUGCUGGAUACCAAGCGGCAACUGCUGUUGUCAUCAGGGAGCUCUCCUAGGUUGGCAACGCCAUCCAGGAAGUGCUAUCCCGGGGGGCCGCCCUCCCUCCUGCCCUCCUGUUCUCCCUCUCCAGCGUCAGGCCCCGGGCCAGAGGGAGCCGGCAGCAAAGGUCCUUGGAACCCAGAGGAGCAAAUCCCCUGGACUCAGUGAGGAGUUGGGAGGUCCGGGCCAGGGUGGAGACACAAGGCGGUUCUGAGCCCAGACCUGGCUGAGGGCACAAGUUCAGGAGGCAGCAGGGUGGUUUCCCAUGCUGCUUUUGUAAGGCCUUGUAACUUAAGCCCCCGGUCUGCAGAGUGAAUAAAGGCGGACCUUUUUUCAGAGGUGUGUACAUCGGGUGGAAAAUGUUCCUGAAGACAACCUUCCUGAGCCCCGGUCUCCUCGGAGAAAUGAGUUGUGAGGGAUAACGAAGUAGUGCACAGUGCCUGGGACGCUGUAGGUGCUCAAUAAA